AGUAGAACUUGCAUGGAGCGCCUGUAGAAGUUCAAACAAAAGAGUUGUACUAUCAAACAGACCAACUUUGCAGCACAUCUUAUAGAUAUAGAUAUGUUACAUUUGUACUGUGGCAUUCGACUAACAGCCUUCGAACUCAUCUAGUCAAUGAUAAAAAACUAUUCCUUCUAGGACCAUCUUCGAAGUUCUCUGUGGCAACAAAGUAGAUAUAAACAUUAUGUCUUGGGAAUUUGAUUGAAAGUUUGGUUCUCUCACAAUAGGUAAGUCAAUUGCACUUGCAGUAAGUUUACCAUCUCAAAUUAGUGUUUAGUAGAAUUCUUCCAAAAAGAUUAUGCAAACAAAUUAAUAUGAACUCCAUCGUUGGCAGUGUUCUAUUGAGCCCAACAUGAUUGUAUAAAUGCCUGAAAGAUGUUUGAUUGUAUUUGGAAGAGCUGAAAUUGUAUAACUAUCAAGAUCUGACGACAAUGUAAUCUUCCGAAGAUUAUUCAGUUAGGAUUUCUUCUUUACGGUUUACAUUUUCGUUUUCCUUUUUUAAGUUGUUGUUUGUGCAAUUGUUCUUUCAGUGUUAAUUUGGUAAGAGAAUAAUGUUCUUUGUGGAGAAUGUUGUAGAUUUAUCAUUUCACCUCUUUAUAGGGUUUUGAUAUCCCUACAGAGACAUCAAUGGUGAUCCUUCAUUUUUCCAGUUCAGUCUGUCAUACUUGCUUAUCCAAAAACCCUGCGACGUGGUCGUUCUCACACUUUUUCUAAAGCCAAGGUAUGGGUUAUGAAUUACUCUGGUGCUUGAGAAACGAAACUUUUCAUAGAAACUGAUUGUGCUGGGCACCAUUUUAAAUUGAAUCUUAUUUAGGUCUCAAUAUUGUAUCAGAUUUAAAGAAAAAUAGAUUCUUAUUUUUAUACAUACAUGUAGUGGGGAAAUGGCUCAAGGAUUGAGUUGCUGCAAAUUCCAGCUGUAAUAUUGAAUCACACAGUAAUUCAAACUUGAGUGUCUUUGCGUCGAAAUAAAGGCCUGCUAAGUUGAUUCAUCUAUUUUUUUAAUUUUUUUUAUCGGUGAUUCAUUUAAUUGUUAAUACGAGGUUUAUUUACAGAUACAUGCUAAUUGGGUUUGGGGCAGAAUGAUAUGAAAGAUACAUGCUAAUUGGGUUUAGUUUACCAUUGCUUUUAACAAGUCCUGGGUGUUCGCAAUUGUAAACCACAAUCAGGAUUCAACUGAAUCAGCCAGAGGUGGACAACAUGUGGAACUUUGUAAGGAUGCUUUGUGAAAAUAAUUAAAGUUUUUGGAUCUUCAUGAAAUUCAAAUUCCUUUCUAAGAACGAGGCAGUUGGUAACACUACAGAUGUCACUUUUGUUGGGAUCCAUAUUCUGCUUGACUUCUCUGUUAUCCCAUCGGACAGGGGUUGCAUGGCUGACUGAGUAAAAUGCAAAUGCGAGAAGUAAUUCGCCCAUGCUCUUUCUCUUCCUUGAGCCAAUAUUCGAUUACUAAGGUAAUGGAUUGGGUUUUGUAUUUGGUAAUUUAUGUAUGUUCGGUUGAAUCGUCUACUUGCUUUUGGGUUGGUAACUGCAGGGGUUGUCUCUAUAACUGAAGUUGCUCCAAUUAGAACACAUUUGAUAAAACUACUAAAACUUUCAUUGUCUAUUUUGUCAUUGUUUACUCAUAAAAUAAAACUGCAGGGGUUGUCUCUAUAACUGCAGGUGGAAUUUAAAAUUUUUGUUCGCACAACUAUUGUUUACUCAUCAUUGUUUAAAAUUAUCAAAGUUGGUCGGUGACUUUUUACUUCCUCUUAAAGAUCUUUGCUGGGAAGUGGUACAACCUGUUACGGGUGGAUGCAAGCUUAGUGUUAAUGGUGAGUAACCCUUUUUGGAUUUCGCAGUUUAGGUUUACGUUCUUUUCUAACAAGAACUUAUCUUAGCAAGGAAAUGGUGAUUUUCGGCAAUUUUUUUUGGUAUUAUGUAUUUUUAACUGUUCUUCCCAUUAUAGUUUUGUUAUGUCUGUACGUACUUGAAAAAUGCUAGACUAACCAAAGGAUUAUUAUACCUUUACAUCAGUUUCACGGAAUCACUAUCGGCUUAACUUUUCUAAAUACAGUCCAUGGCAUACUUUAUUGCAACUGAUUAAACCAUUGCAAUUUGUUUUAUUUCCUAAAUUUAGAUGUCACAUAACCCAAUAUGAGUACUGUCGAGUGUCGAAUACGGCGUUCUUCAAGUGAUAUUUGCGCUACACAUGUCUAUGCAUGUUUUUAGUUUACUCUUCGAAGCAAAAUCGCUUCAUGGUUCUUCCCUAUUUUUGUUGAUCCUCAUAAUAUAAAAGAUCAUUAGGAUUAUUACUUUAAAGAAUUUGAAAGUUUGAAACCUAUAUAAACGACAUUCACACGUUUCUGUAUGUCAAAUAUUUGUUUUGGGUGCAAUACCUUUUGCAGAAGUUGUUCAAUAUUGCAUAGUUGUACAAGACAUAAUAGAGUCUGUAAGACUGUAUUACCAGAAGUCUGAGAAGUUUGGCGGCGAUGUAAAUUGUGGGAUGCUCGAAGAUAGGAAAAUAUCCUAGCCUCUUAACUGGGGUUGGAUUUAAAUGGACAAUUUUUAUGAGCUGAUAUAGAAACUGAUGGAAUGGAAUCUCCCAAGAGGAUAAUGUUGAGGUUGGGAAGAAUGAACGAAUGGAAAAAGAAGUAGUCCUACAUACCACCAGAUAAGAAAUUGUCACUGGAAGUCUUUACUUCUAUUGUUCUUCAGAUUCAGAAAUGAAAUAGUUAUGGUCAGUAUAUCGUUUUUAAGGUUUAUUGAGUUGUCCAGAGAGGCAUGGGUGAAACCCGAGGAGUCUUUGGGGUGUAAUGUACAUGUAUGUUUGGUUCUGCACUUACCAAUAAAAUUAGGUACUAUG